GCUCUGUGGACAAGAGAGGAAUUCCAGUUCGGACCAAGAGGAACCAGAACCUCUGCAGAUAAAAGAAGAGCAGAAAGAACCAGAACAUCCCUGGACAAAAGAGGAAACAAUGGAGCUCCCCAUAAGUGAGCAGGAAGAGCAGCUUGUUCUGAAUUUUACUAAACAAUGUAGUUUCACUAAUCACAUGAGAAUUCACACUGGUGAGAAGCCAUUUCCCUGCACGAUUUGUGGCAAACGUUUUAGUGUUAAACAUCAUUUGACUGGACACAUGAAAAUUCACACUGGUGAGAAGCCUUUUUCCUGCAUGAUUUGUGGCAAACGUUUUCCUUUAAAACAUUGUUUGACUGGACAUAUGAGAAUUCACACUGGUGAGAGGCCCUUUGAAUGUCUAUCCUGUGGAAAAAGCUUCACCUCCAAGUCAGAUCUUGUUAAUCACAUGAGAAUUCACACUGGUGAGAAGCCUUUUUCCUGUACCAUUUGUAACAAGAAUUUUACUAAAAAAAGUAGUUUGACUGCUCACCUCAGAAUUCACACAGGUGAGAAGCCUUUUUCCUGUACCAUUUGUAACAAGAAUUUUACUGAAAAGGGAAAUUUGACUAUUCACAUGAGAAUUCACACUGGUGAGAAGCCAUUUCCCUGCACGAUUUGUGGCAAACGUUUUAGUGUUAAACAUCAUUUGACUGGACACAGGAAAAUUCACACUGGUGAGAAGAUUUAUGGAUGUCUGUCCUGUGGAAAAAUGUUCACAAGGAAAUCUAAUCUUGUUAGACACAUCAGAAUUCACACAGGUGAGAAGCCUUUUUCAUGCAAGAUUUGAGGCAACCGUUUUACUCUAAAAAGGUAAUUUGACUAGAGAGACACGUGAGAAUUCACACGUAUGAGAGGCUGUUUUCCUGAAUGAUUUAAAACAAAGGUUUUAAACAAGAGGGUAAUUUGAGUAGUUAGAUUACAAUAUUCAUGCAUGAUGUGGAAUGAUUUAUUAAAAAAAUAAAUUGCAAUACAUAAGUCAUAGCAGUUAGUGGUCACAGGAAUUAACAGUUGAGGCGUUUUCUUGACUAGUGAUGAAAUGUCCAUCUAGAAACUCCUUCACCUCAUAACAUGAAAAACUCAAAGGUUAAUGGUCUUUUUGGAGCAAAGUUUUGAGAGAACCAAUUAAUGAAGAGCUCUUUUCACAUAAAAACUAGAACAGAUAAGCUGUUAUACUGUAAACCUGGUAAAUAUUAAGGUCCUGGUUGAAUAUGGAUGUGAAAAUUUGAAAGUUAAUUAUUUUGGGCUACCCUAACAAAAAAAAAGUUUUUACAUUCAAAAUGUCUUACAUUUUCUGUAAUUAGGGAAUAAUCAUAAUAAAGUGCAACAAAAUUAUCUUGGUUACAGAUGAAGCAAGUUUUGUGUCCAUACAACAAGCCAUUGAGAAGUUAUAGUUUAAGUUUAAAUUGGAAAGAAUCCAGACGGACCCAUACUGUGCCAUUUUGGCAUGGUGUGGCACAACUUUUUCUGAAUGAAUUUAUUCA